rnacentral:sRNA from 1 species
GCUGGGUGUGGUGGUGCACACCUGUGAUCCCAGCUAUUCGGGAAGCUGAGGCAGGAGGAUAGUAAAUUCAAAGCCAGCCUGGAAAAUUUAGCAAGACCCUGUCUUAA